GAUGGGGUAGUAGUUCUGUUGAGGCGUCCUGAGAUUUUUUUCGCAGUUGUCUAAUUUUCAAGUAACACAUCACAUUUUGAUCACCACAAUCAAGAAUGUGAAAUUAGAGAUGUUGAGGAUGAUCCUUUCUUUAACACAUCACAUUUGCCUGAGGUUGAACUUACAUAUAAAAUUCCCGAUACGAGAAACGAUCACAAUGGUGGGAUUUGGAUCAAUCAAUCAUUUUGGGUAAAUAAAAAACUGAAAACUUUGAAUCUAAUUACAAUGAAGGGGAAAAAGCCAAUUUGCAAGAUGAUAUAGAUGAGGAAUUUCAAGAGGAAGACGUAGAUGAUGAAUUUCUUAAGGAUGAAUUUCUUGAGGACAACUUAAGUGAUGAAUUUCAGGAGGAUGAUAUAGAUGAUGAAUUUCAAGAGGAUGACCUGGAUGAUGAAUUUGAAGUGGACGAUUUGGCUGAUGAAUUACAAGAUAAACUUGAAUGAUCGAGUUGGAUGGUGUUUUAUUUUGGAUUGUAGUUAAACCACUAAACUUGUCCGAACUAUAGUUUUGUUAUUUUGCUAGGCUUAUACUUCGAAGCAUUAAACUUAUCAAGUAAUGUUUGACAUUUUGAUUACUAUUAUGUCUUGAAUUAAUGUUUGAACUAUUUUAUUAUAUUACAUCUUUUGUGGUUGUAUUGUUA
rnacentral:lncRNA from 1 species